CCUACGGGAGACAGCAGUGAGGAAUAUUGGUCAAUGGGCGCGAGCCUGAACCAGCCAAGUAGCGUGAAGGAUGACUGCCCUACGGGUUGUAAACUUCUUUUAUAAAGGAAUAAAGUGAGGCACGUGUGCCUUUUUGUAUGUACUUUAUGAAUAAGGAUCGGCUAACUCCGUGCCAGCAGCCUCGGUAAUACGGAGGAUCCGAGCUUUAUCCGGAUUUAAUGGGUUUAAAGGGAGCGUAGAUGGGUUGUUUAGUUAGUUGUGAAAAUUUGCGGCUCAACCGUACAAUUGCAAUUGAUACUGGCAGUCUUGAGUACAGUUGAGGUAAGCGGAAUUCGUGGUGUAGCGGUGAAAUGCUUAGAUAUAACGAAGAACUCCGAUUGCGAAGGCAGCUUACUAAACUGACACUGACAUUGAUGCUCGAAAGUGUGGGUAUCAAACAGGAUUAGAUACCCCGGUAGUC
rnacentral:rRNA from 1 species